UGGCCUACGGGAGGCAGCAGUAGGGAAUCUUCCACAAUGGACGAAAGUCUGAUGGAGCAACGCCGCGUGAGUGAAGAAGGGUUUCGGCUCGUAAAGCUCUGUUGGUAGGGAAGAAAGAUAGAGGUAGUAACUGGCCUUUAUUUGACGGUAAUUACUUAGAAAGUUAAGGCUAACCACGUGCCAGCAGCCGCGGGAAUACGUAGGUGGCAAGCGUUGUUCGGAUUUAUUGGGCGUAAAGCGAGUGCAGGCG
rnacentral:rRNA from 1 species